rnacentral:misc_RNA from 1 species
UUGUUUAAUUUACUUAAACUCCGACGCAUUGAUGCAGUGUUUGAUGGCCUCCGGGGGCGCCAGCCGCGUGAGCGGGCAGGGUCGCCCCCGAAGCAACAAGAAUUGUUCACAAAGGGUUGGAGGUCGGGGAUGUUUAGUCCCCUCACUCAGUAAUGAUCCCUCCGCAGGUUCACCUACGGAGA